rnacentral:rRNA from 1 species
ACCGGGAAGAGCUCAAAUUUGAAAUCUGGCUGUCUUCGAUAGUCCGAGUUGUAAUCUAUAGAAGCGUUUUCCGUGCUGAACUGUGUCUAAGUCCCUUGGAACAGGGUAUCAAAGAGGGUGACAAUCCCGUACUUGACACAAUCAUCAGUGCUCUGUGAUACGCUCUCUACGAGUCGAGUUGUUUGGGAAUGCAGCUCAAAAUGGGUGGUAAAUUCCAUCUAAAGCUAAAUAUUGGCGAGAGACCGAUAGCGAACAAGUACCGUGAGGGAAAGAUGAAAAGCACUUUGGAAAGAGAGUUAAACAGUACGUGAAAUUGUUGAAAGGGAAACGAUUGAAGUCAGUCGUGUUCAUUGGAUUCAGCCGGUCUUCGGUGUACUUCCUUUGAACGGGUCAACAUCAGUUUUGCCCGGUGGAUAAAGGCAGUAGGAAUGUGGCCUCUCCGGAGGUGUUAUAGCCUAUUGUCACAUACACUGGGGGAGACUGAGGACUGCAGCUCGCCUUUUGGCCGGGGUUCGCCCACGUUCGAGCUUAGGAUGUUGACAUAAUGGCUUUAAACGACCCGUCUUGA